rnacentral:lncRNA from 1 species
ACGAGAGUUGGUGAAUGAAAAUAUAUUCUUGAAUUUAUAAGUGAAACAGUGAUAGGGCUACUCUCUAUUGGCAUGCAUUUGUAUAUUUCAGCUGACACGCCAAAGGAGAGCUGCCCUGUUACUGUCUCUGCUUAAUCUACAUGCCCUUCGGAAACUCUUAAUACAGUGUGAUGUCUUGAAGCUAUUUUUCUACUUUUCGUAGUGAAUCGUUGUGUUCUCAUGUUAUUCCAAAUAUUAAGUCUUGUUUACUUUGUUGUGAACCCACCAAUUCAUUUGAAUGCGACUGUGAGAUGUAUAUAUUCAAAUGUACAUUUUAAUUUAAAGAGUAGUUAUAGCGUUAUAAAAUUGAUAAGUAACAUUCUAUUUUUUGUAUUUAAUCCUCAAAUUAUUAUUGCUAACUGAAGAUUUAUACAUAGUUUUGAUGAAUUAGAAUUCAACUCGAUUGUAAAUCUCAGACAAGCCGCUUGAAUGGUUCAAAAGAUCUCCAAAGCUAGGAAAUUAACACUUUGGAAAUUCAUGUUACAGGAUGGAUGAGGUUCAGCAGAUUACGCAAUUAUCUAUCAGGAAAAUGUAUCAAAAGUUACAAAGUGACUUAUCCAAAGGUACUUGAAAAUUUUCCGAAGUUUCAAAUGUACAUUUCAAACUCGGGGAAAUAUUCUGGAGUUUGAAUUAGUUAAGUUUAUAAUAUUGAUUCAAAAUAAUGUUUUCUCCAGAAGACUCUAGCCUGUUAAUCAUGAUAUUGGGCAGCUCAACAUUGAUUCGAAAAAGACCAACUGGUACAGCUGCAGCUCAAAGACCAUUUUACAGUUGUAACAUUAGACUUGUAGUUUUAUUCUUUACCAUUCUAUGUUUAACUACAAAUACUUGAUUCAUUUAUGAAAUAAUGUUUGAUACAUCAACCAUUCUCAAUUCCACGAAUAUUUUGUCUAUAUAAUCUUCUUUUUCAGCAUUUCCACCAGGGAAAUUUCCAUCUAAUUUUCGCAAGUCUAAUUCUAACAUGGUAACAAAUCAGGAAAAUGAACUAUACUUGUUCCUCUCAUUAGAGCAUCACAUCCUCGAAGCUAGAUUUUGUUAUAUUUUGAUUGAUUUUCCAAAAAUAUAUCUGGAUAGGGUUCAAUUUCUGAUUCAACAAGGGUUUACUAUAUUCUACUUCUGAUUCAAAGGUUUCACAAUGGAUUUACGGUGAUAUCUAAGGCGUUCAUGAUGAUGUAUUAUUUCGUUCACAUUGUAUUUCCAUAAAUCUCAUGUAUACCAUAUAUAUCUGUAUAUAUAAUCCACGAUCAUCUGUAAUUUAUGUGAAACACCCCCUAAUUGUGUCAAGACUGACAAUGCUCUGUCAAUCAGUGUUGCAAAAAAUUUUAAAAAAAUACUCAAGGAUUAGUACAACACCAUCCAGGAACCUUUACUGGAAAAUUAGUAUACCAUAUGAGUCUUUUACAGUUUGGAUCUAUCAUGGAGUAAAAGGAUACAUUGCAGAUUAUUCAAAAUAUGCCUCCUUGCAAUCUACGUUGUGAUCAACAGAUAUAUAGUGGCGGAUACAGUAUGUAAACAGUGGGUUCAACAGCUGUUCCAUCAGAAUAACAUUAAGCAGAGACAGUAACAGGGAAGCUCUCCUUUGGCAUGUCAGCUUAAAGUGGAUAGAGUAUGUAAAUAACGUUUGCAUCAAAGUUAUAACAUUAAGCAAAAACGGUAACCGCACAACUAUCCUUUGGCAUUUCAUCCGAAAUAUGUGAUGAAUAAAUAACCGCAUGCCAAUAGAGAGUAUCCUUAUCACUGUUUCUUCUUGUUAGAGAAGAACAUAGUGACUUAACAGUGGCGGAUACAGUAUGUAAAUAGUGGGUUCAACAGCUGUUACAUCAAAAUAACAUUCAGUAGAGACAGUAACAAGGCAGAUAUCCUUUGGCAUGUCAGCUUAAAUAUAUAGGUGCAUGCCAAUAGAGAGUAGCCCUACCACUGUUUCCCUUAUAAAUUCAAGAAUACAUUUUUAUUCACCAACUCUCCUUUUUCUCAUUUUUCUGCUUCUGUUUCAUCACACCAGAGCCUUCCAAGCUUAUAUAGGUUAUUCCUUCUUAGUUUAAGAGACAGUAUAAACCCAUGGAGAAUCAGCAUAUCCUGCCCCUUUUGUGUCUUCUUGCUUUUUCUGGGGUCAGAAAAUGGGGAACUUUCGUAUCCCUUUUACCAUUUCAUUUUGUGGCUUUUCGGUUUCCGAAUGCUAGUAUCAAUUAAUUAGGUGUUUUUUGUGACUAUGAAGUGUGCCACUUGACUCUUUUACAGCAUAUCCUUGGUCAUAUUCCUCAUUUUCCUCUUCUUUUGUCCAUAUCGACAUUUCUAUGUAGGGUCCUUUUUGCUUUCGUGUGGCUUUUCGAUUUCCUAGUGCCAGACUCACUUAAUUAGGCUAGUAAAUUUUUACUAGAUCCCAAGUCUUUCAGAAGUUGCAAAACAGAAUUGAUUUAGCAAAAGUGUAGGACAAAAUAAAAGUUGGAUGGUGCCUUUUUGAGUUCUCUCAUAUUACUCAAAAGUGUCGCCAUUUGUUCCAGUUUGCAUAUCACGCUAACCUGAACUAAUUAACUAUCUGUGGCAGAUUAAAAUUGCACCUUUCAACAUGUGUGUAUGGUAUUAAUUUAGUGAAUUUGUGUGCAACAAAAAACAGUCCUUACAACUUAAGACAUUCAAGUAUAAUGAAGCUGGACAAAUUGCAUCCAAGUCUGGAUUACAUUAGAACAUAAGAAUACUUUAUAUAAUACCAUCCUAGUUUCUUGCACCAGCUAGCCUGUCCCUCAAACCUAUGCCCCAUAUACCUACAUCACAUCUAUGUUUAUAUCUUUAUCAAUAUUGAUAUCAAUGUAAACUUCUAAAUUGGAAAGUUGAAUCACUUGAAUAUCCUUCUAAAUAGUUAAUCUGAAUAUAUAUAUAUAUAUAUUUCAUACUUAUAUAUUAAUUAAAUGUUUUCAAGUAGUGUGUAAUUGAUAAAAGCCACCUAUUUCUAGUAGUUGAUAAACAAAGUCGCCAAGUCAGACACUUUAAGAGCCAAACUAUAAAAGCCACUGCUUGGAAUAAGGGUGUUCAUUGUUUGGAGAAGCAAAUCAGUGCAGAGACAUUAGUAUAGUAUUCUAAAACGCAUAUCUUAAGUUCAGUUAGUUGGCUACUUAAUCUUUUACAUUGCUUGUGAUGAUUUGAUUCCCACCUUGUAAUAUCCUACCCCAUUUCCCCUUCUCUACGUCUAUGUAAUAAAAAAAAGAUAUAGGAAAAACAAUGAACAAAAAAUAAUAAUAAAUUAAAAAUAUAUCGUAUUCUAAAAGGACAAAGGCAUUUUCAUCAAAAAUGUCUACCAGAUUGUGUUUAGGCAGUAGUGAUGUGAGGUAAUUUGUUUGUUAGUUGUUUGUCUCUCGAAAAGAAGAUUUUUUCAUUUUGUGCUUGUUUUCUUAUAUAGCAUUCAGAAUUGGACUGUGUUGAUAUAUGAUGCUGCAGUUGUGCAGCUUCAAAUGUCUUUAGAGUAAACUGGCAGAAAUAAUGAUACACUUCGAACUUUUAUUACGAGUGAACACAACAAACACCAUAUUCAAACUUUUAUUAUGUCUAAUUGUCAGGCAAAGGAAGCAGUACUCUUCAUUUCAUGGCCUAUAAAAGAGCUAGAAUCCUAAAAUCUCAUAACAUAAGCAAGAGAGGAAUUAGGGAAAUCGAAAAGCCGCAUGAAUAACAAAAAUCGAAACCAAGUAGAAAACGUAACAUAGAAAUGUAAAAGAGAAAGGAAGAAUAGAAAAAAUAAGGAAUAUGACAAAAGGAUAUGCUGUUUGAAGGUCCUCGAGUCAAAUGGCACACACUUCAAAGGCAUAAAAUCAUGCAGCAUCAACUUUUUCCUGAGGGAAUCUGAUGAAAAUAUUUUUAAAGGAGUUGCUUUCAGGAAAUGAAAUUGUAAAGGAUAAGAAAGUUACCACAUUUUUUUACUCUAGAAAAAGCAAUCCCAUAAUGCAAGAAGAUAUCCGCAGACCACAACUAGAACCAAAAUCACAUAGGAUAUGCUGAUUCUCUCCAAGGGUUUAUACCGUCUCUUAAACUGAGAAGGAAUGCCUAUAAAAGCAUUGAAAGCUCUGUUGUGGUGAACCAGAGGAAGAAGAAAACGAGAGUUGGUGAAUGAAAAUAUAUCCUUGAAUUUAUAAGCGAGACAGUGAACCAGAGGAAGAAGAAAACGAGAGUUGGUGAAUGAAAAUAUAUUCUUGAAUUUAUAAGGGAAACAAUGAUAGGGCUACUCUCUAUUGGCAUGCAUUUGUAUGUUUCAGCUGACACGCCAAAGGAGAGCUGCCCUGUUACUGUCUCUCCUUAAUCAACAUGUCCUUCGGGCACUAUUAAUAUAUACAGUGUGAUGUCUUCAAGGUAUUUUUCUACUUUUCGCAGUGAGUCGUUCUGUUCUCAUGUUAUUCUAAAUAUUAAGUCUUGUUUACUUAAUUGUGAACUCACCAAUUGAUAAUUUGAAUGCGAGUGUGAGAUGUAUUCAAUUGUACAUUUUAAUUUAAAGAGCAGUUAUAGAGAUAUGAAUGAUAUAACAUUCUAGUUUUUGUAUUUAAUUCUCAAAUUAUUUUUGUUAACUGAAGAUUUAUACAUAGUUCUGAAUCUUCUGAUGAAUUAGAAUUCAACUCGAAUGUAAAUCUCAAACAAGCUGCUUGGAUGGUUCAAAAGAUUUCCAAAGCUAGGAAAUUAACACAUUGGAAAUUCAGGUUACAGGAUAAUUGAGGUUCAGCAGAUUACACAAUUUUCUAUUAGGAAAAUGUAUCUAAAGGUAAUUGAAAAUUUUCCGAACUUUGAAAUAUACAGUUCAAACUCAGGGAAUUAUUUUGGAGUUUGAAUUAGUUAAGU